rnacentral:rRNA from 1 species
UACAGAGGGGGCAAGCGUUAUUCGGAAUUAUUGGGCGUAAAGGGCGCGUAGGCGGCCUGGCAAGUGGAUGGUGAAAUCCCUCGGCUUAACCGAGGAACUGCCAUCCAGACUGCUUGGCUUGAGACCGGGAGAGGUGAGUGGAAUUCCCAGUGUAGCGGUGAAAUGCGUAGAUAUUGGGAGGAACACCAGUGGCGAAGGCGGCUCACUGGACCGGUACUGACGCUGAGGCGCGAAAGCGUGGGGAGCAAACAGG